rnacentral:lncRNA from 1 species
UCCAUAUUUAAAAUAAAUUGGUGCUGUGUUUACGGAAACGGACGGGAUGCCUUAGAUUACAGAACCCUUUCGAGGCCCUGUAAUAGGGGUUUUGUUCUUUCUGGAGCGUUCGAGGGAGCCUCGCCGCUCCUUAGGCGCUUGGUGCGCCUUGAGGAUGGGUGUAGUGUCCAUUGCCUCUUGUGAGGCGCCGGACACGUGCUCUUGCGAGCGGGAAGAUUUCAGAGGGAGUCCCGCCUUGGAGGGCAAGACCCCUGCGCCCACCAGCCCGGAGGUCGAUGGGGCUCCCAGAGGGAUUUGGCUACGCCGGCCGUUGCCAGCGCAUGAAGGAACCUCGGAAGUUGAGGCAGCCUCGGCUGCGCCCUCCUUCGGGGUCGAUGGUUCCUUCUCCUCGGUUGACGGAGCAGCGCUAGCUGCAACCGUCGCGGGGGCAGAUGGCGUGACUGCCGACUCACUGCUUGUGGGUCGGACAGCCGCCGGAGGCCGUUGUGACGCUGCCCCCUGACGCGCCACUUCGGCAAAGCUUUUCUUUGGCAGGAUGGGCACGACCGUGAGUACGCGGCGUGAUCCCCAUCACAGUUUACACAGUGUAGAGAGUUCUUACAUUCAUCAGUUGCCUGUUCAAGGGCACUGCAUUUGGCGCAUGUUUGGCGGCCUCGGCAGCUCUGCGAGCUGUGGCCAAAACGUUGGCAUUUGAAACAUCUCAAGGGAUUUGGCACAUACGGGCGUACACGAAGCUUGAUGUACCCGGCCUCGAUUGACUCGGGCAGGACACUUGAAUUGAAGCCCUCCAAGAGCUCAGCCUCAGAGAGCUCCAGCAAAUCAUCGUCCGAGACAACACCGCGGGAAGUAUUCAUCGUGCGGUGCGGGGUUACUACUACUUGGGUCUCCCCAAAUGAUACUAGCUGAGGCAGUUUUUCAAAUUCCUUCUGAUCGCGGAGCUCCAGGAGGAGGUCUCCGCUAGCCAUCCUCGACACCUUAUAUCCUGGACCAAAAACUUCGAGUGGAUCACGUGAAAACGAGGGAAGGAUUCUUUUUGUCGACCAAAAAACUGGAAUAAAUCAUCGGUGCGCCCUCUUUUCUGAGGGCGAUCAGGAAGUGGAGGGAAGGAUGUUGCCAUAAAGGAAUUGAAUUUUCGGCAAUAACGCCAGCCACCCACCAUGGAGUCCUACGAGGGGACGCUACAGAGACUGUAAGAACAGGUCCUGUAAACGCCAGCUGUACGUCAUCACUAUAACCAAAUAUGAAAUAACCUAGGUUGGUUAAUCACACAAGGUUAACCCUUGCUGCCUGGAAACUAUGGAAGUAAGCGGAAGGAAGGAGAAGACAGGAAAGAUGAAAAGUGAGAGAAAGACGAAGGCUGGAGGGAGAGAGAGACAGGAAAAGGCAACUACCGAUUUCCCCCGGGUGGGUCAGUCCGGGGGGGCCGUCUAUGUGAAGCAGAGGCCAAAGGGGUGUGUUGCGUCCGCCGGGGGGCCUUAAAGGUCCAGACACCCAGCAUCGGCUCAACCCCCAGGAUCCCCCUUUCCCCAGACACGGCUAAGCCGCGCACGGCUACACGCGGGAGGGUCCAACACUCGUGUGCUCGGGUACGUGGUGUCGCAACACACCAAACGCCUGCUGACGCAGACGCCCCU